UUAGAAUAAGAGGAAUUAGGUCUUUAAAGAAGUUCUAUUGAUUGAGGGCCAUAGGCAGGGAAAGUGAAGUUUUUGUAGUAAGUUAUGAAUAUAGGAAUAAAUCUGAAACUUGUAUUAGAAGUUUUAUUAAUAGAUUUGGAAUUAGUCCUAUUUACUUUUACAAUGUAAAUGAAGCUGGCGAGCAGCUUAUUAAUAAUAAUGGAAAAAAUCAUUUUUUUUAGUAUAGGUUUAAGAAUUUAGAUAAAAGAGGUAUUGAUAAAGUUAGAUAUUUGAGUAGGGUUUUAUAAAAGAAAUUUUAAGUAAUUGUACCUUUUGUAUUAUGAUCUGUUUAGUAAGAUAUUUUUAUAAGAGUUGCUCGAAAAAUAAAGAUCUACAAUUAUUGGAGUUAAUGUUGAAUAAUUAUUUUAGUAAUUGUAGGGGUGAAAUUCCUGUCGGUUUAUUAGAUAGCUAGUUUGUUAAGAAAAAAGUUUGGCUUUCUUUAAAGGUUUUUAAAAGUGGAUAGAGAGGGUUAAUCUUUUUUAUUAUUAUAGAGGUAAAAGGAGGCUUAUGAGAAAAUUUUUUGGGCUUGAAAUUAGCUAUAGGGGGAGUAUGUUAUUAUUUAAAGAGGAAUAUAAGUUUUAUUUAAGAAAGUUUUAUUUUUAUAUUAAUACAGACUACCAAAUUUUUUUUUGUCAAGUUUAUGAGUAGGAUUAGUAUUAGAUGAUUUUAAGAGUGAUAAAUUUUAUAAGGGGAGUGGUAUAAGAGGAAAAGUUUAAGAAAAUAAUAUUAUGAAUUCGGCAAUAAUAGUUCCGACUGUUUAUCAAAAACAUUUUUUUCUGUAUAUAUAGAAAAUAAGACCUGCACAAUGAUAAGUAAAUUGCCGUGGUAUUUUGACCAUGCUAAGGUAGCAUAAUCAUUUGGUUUUUAAUUGAGAUCUGGGAUGAAGGGUUGAACGAGAGCUAUGCUUUAUUAUUUUAUAGACAAAAAAUUAUUUUUUAGGUGAAGAAGCCUAAAUGUAGUAAGAGGACAAGAAGACCCUAUCGAGCUUUAUUUAUCUAGUAUUAUUAUUUAUAGGUAAAAUUUGGUUGGGGCAACCAAGGAACUAACUUCUUUAAAAGGGUGAGAGGGAAUAUAGUAAUAUUGAGUGAAAAGUUACCGUAGGGAUAACAGCAUAAUUUUUUUUUAGAGUUCUUAUCGAAAGAAAAGUUUGUGACCUCGAUGUUGGAUUAAGAUUUCCUUAGGGAGUAGAAAUUUUAGAGGGUUGGUCUGUUCGACCAAUAAAAUCUUACAUGAUCUGAGUUCAGACCGGCGUGAGCCAGGUUGGUUUCUAUCCUUUAGAAGAAGGGGACAUAAUUAGUACGAAAGGAUUUUUAUGUUUUUUUG
rnacentral:rRNA from 1 species